rnacentral:rRNA from 1 species
CACAUGCAAGUUGAACGAUGAAGCUAGAGCUUGCUCUGGUGAAUUAGUGGCGAACCGGGUGAGUAACACGUGAGUAACCUGCCCCGAACUCUGGGAUAACUGCUGAAACGGUAGCUAAUACUGGAUACGACCUACGAAGGCAUCUUCUGUAGGUGGAAAGAAUUUCGGUUCGGGAUGGACUCGCGGCCUAUCAGCUUGUUGGGUGAGGUAAUGGCUCACCAAGGCGACACGGGUAGCCGGCCUGAGAGGGUGACCGGCCACACUGGGACUGGGACACGGCCCAGACUCCUACGGGAGGCAGCAGUGGGGAAUAUUGCACAAUGGGCGCAAGCCUGAUGCAGCAACGCCGCGUGAGGGAUGACGGCCUUCGGGUUGUAAACCUCUUUUAGUAGGGAAGAAGCGAAAGUGACGGUACCUGCAGAAAAAGCACCGGCUAACUACGUG